rnacentral:rRNA from 1 species
AGAGUUUGAUCCUGGCUCAGGAUGAACGCUGGCGGCGUGCCUAAUACAUGCAAGUCGAGCGAACGGACGAGAAGCUUGCUUCUCUGAUGUUAGCGGCGGACGGGUGAGUAACACGUGGAUAACCUACCUAUAAGACUGGGAUAACUUCGGGAAACCGGAGCUAAUACCGGAUAAUAUUUUGAACCGCAUGGUUCAAAAGUAAAAGACGGUCUUGCUGUCACUUAUAGAUGGAUCCGCGCUGCAUUAGCUAGUUGGUAAGGUAACGGCUUACCAAGGCAACGAUGCAUAGCCGACCUGAGAGGGUGAUCGGCCACACUGGAACUGAGACACGGUCCAGACUCCUACGGGAGGCAGCAGUAGGGAAUCUUCCGCAAUGGGCGAAAGCCUGACGGAGCAACGCCGCGUGAGUGAUGAAGGUCUUCGGAUCGUAAAACUCUGUUAUUAGGGAAGAACAUAUGUGUAAGUAACUGUGCACAUCUUGACGGUACCUAAUCAGAAAGCCACGGCUAACUACGUGCCAGCAGCCGCGGUAAUACGUAGGUGGCAAGCGUUAUCCGGAAUUAUUGGGCGUAAAGCGCGCGUAGGCGGUUUUUUAAGUCUGAUGUGAAAGCCCACGGCUCAACCGUGGAGGGUCAUUGGAAACUGGAAAACUUGAGUGCAGAAGAGGAAAGUGGAAUUCCAUGUGUAGCGGUGAAAUGCGCAGAGAUAUGGAGGAACACCAGUGGCGAAGGCGACUUUCUGGUCUGUAACUGACGCUGAUGUGCGAAAGCGUGGGGAUCAAACAGGAUUAGAUACCCUGGUAGUCCACGCUGUAAACGAUGAGUGCUAAGUGUUAGGGGGUUUCCGCCCCUUAGUGCUGCAGCUAACGCAUUAAGCACUCCGCCUGGGGAGUACGACCGCAAGGUUGAAACUCAAAGGAAUUGACGGGGACCCGCACAAGCGGUGGAGCAUGUGGUUUAAUUCGAAGCAACGCGAAGAACCUUACCAAAUCUUGACAUCCUUUGACAACUCUAGAGAUAGAGCCUUCCCCUUCGGGGGACAAAGUGACAGGUGGUGCAUGGUUGUCGUCAGCUCGUGUCGUGAGAUGUUGGGUUAAGUCCCGCAACGAGCGCAACCCUUAAGCUUAGUUGCCAUCAUUAAGUUGGGCACUCUAAGUUGACUGCCGGUGACAAACCGGAGGAAGGUGGGGAUGACGUCAAAUCAUCAUGCCCCUUAUGAUUUGGGCUACACACGUGCUACAAUGGACAAUACAAAGGGCAGCGAAACCGCGAGGUCAAGCAAAUCCCAUAAAGUUGUUCUCAGUUCGGAUUGUAGUCUGCAACUCGACUACAUGAAGCUGGAAUCGCUAGUAAUCGUAGAUCAGCAUGCUACGGUGAAUACGUUCCCGGGUCUUGUACACACCGCCCGUCACACCACGAGAGUUUGUAACACCCGAAGCCGGUGGAGUAACCUUUUAGGAGCUAGCCGUCGAAGGUGGGACAAAUGAUUGGGGUGAAGUCGUAACAAGGUAGCCGUAUCGGAAGGUGCGGCUGGAUCACCU